rnacentral:misc_RNA from 1 species
GCGUACUUUACCCUUUUCCAUGCUUGGAAUUGGUUUACAAGCAAACAUCCUAAAUGGAUUGUUUGAUUUUGACUUUGCCCUGUGUUUUGAGUACUUUGCACGUUUGUUAGAUUCCCUUCUGGUAUUUACCAUCACAGCAAAUUGAAAAAGAAGAAGAAAAAUAAAUGUUGGCUUUCUCAACCAUUUCUCCUCCAUCACCGAUCACCAUAACAAGGUGCGACGCCACAAGAACAAGGAGGCACACAGAUUACCAUAUCAAGAACGGGUCCUUAUUUCGUAUACCUUCAAAGUGGAUGCGUACUGUAGAGUAGGAGAAGCAAGGAAAACAAACGGCACUAGCAACCACCCACUAGCAACCAAGAAACUGGGGGAAAGGAAAAAGCAAACCCAAACACAGUUUGCCAAGUCGCAAUUAGAUUUGCAGGCCAAUAGAGAGCAGACACCAAGCAAAAUAGCAUGAAGACAAAAAAAUGAGUGGGGUUAGGCUUCGUCAAGAACGGAAACACAUCACCAUAUAUAGCCAGUUGCUUCGUUUGACUUGGUUAUCGAACUUUCAAACAUUGGGAUCAUCAUCAUCAUCACCAACCCCAGCAAACUACUCCAUCAUUUGCUCUCCUUCCCUCAGUUUCCGUCCUCCCUCCCACCAUCUCUCUCUGUCUCUCUCUCUUUCUUCUUUUCCUGAGUCACAUCAUUUUCUCUAAUGAAUGACUGGGUCAAUUCAAGUAGUUAGUGAUUACCGAUAUAGUGGUCUAGCCUUUCAGUGUAAUUAAUCUCCACAUCUAGAUUCCCUUCAACUUCAACCCAUCAAACAAUCAUGAAGGUGGCGAGUUCACUAUCACCAGGUAAGCUGGGCCUUUAUCUUCUUCUGUUAUCUUAAUGAUAAAUUGAUAAGACAUUGACUAUAAUUAAUUAAUUGAUUAUUUUAAUUUGGUAAUUUUCUUUUUUCCAUUAUGAAAAUGGUAUUGGCACACAUCACAGGAGCUAAAAUAGAGGAGGAGGAGAGUAUAUUUUAAAAUAAAACAAAUAUUUUUUAUUAUUUUUUGAAAGAGAUAAUUGCGUAUGUUAAGCAACCACCGGAAAUUAAAAAAAGGAUUAAAAAAAAAGAAAUGGUGUCCCCCCGGCCCCCGGUCUUAUAUAGCGGUUAUGUUGGAAAUGGUGGAGUAGGAGCAGCACGUGAAGCUCUCGCUGUUCAAAUAUCUCCCGUGGUUUUUGACGUUUCUUUAGUCAAAUCUCCUCCAACUGUCGCGAGGCCUUCCGCCUCCGUCUCCGCCUCCGCCUCUCGUCUUUGUCGCCGACGCUUUUGUCGACGCGGGAUCCGGAUGGCGAAUCAAACUCUCAAGACCACCAAAAAUCACCUUAGGCAUGUCGACUCAAUGUCUACUCUGCCGUCACGUGCUGGGAAAAUUACUGGUCUUAACGCUGUUAUUUUAGGAGAAGCUUUGGCUUCUGAAGAGGACGAUCUUGUUUUCCCCAACGAUGAAUUUGUUCGUCAGGCUCUCGUUCCCUCACCUAAGAAGUACUUGGAGAUGUAUAAA